rnacentral:antisense_RNA from 1 species
GGUUUUUAUAUUUUUAAGACAGUUUAUUAUUAUGUUGCCAAUGAACCAGCAGGUGGCACUACACAACAAUUUUACACAGGCAAAAAUAAGUUCCCUUAGGGUGAAAAAGAUGAUGUUUUCUCAAACGGGAUCUUUGGAAGGAUAUGGACCUGUACAACAUGCACGCCUACCGGUGAAAAAGGACUGAAAAUAGUUGUUUGAAUAGGAUGCCCUUCACCCCGGUGACUCUCCAUACGAAAAUGGGGUGAUCAACACUACUCUGACAAUUUACACAAACUAGAAGUGACCACUUUAAAGACGGAAUGCCAAGAACAGUACAAUAAAUGCUAAAGAGAAAGAGUGAUAAG